UCCGUGCCAGCAGCCGCGGUAAUACGGAGGGUGCAGCGUUACUCGGAAUCACUGGGCGUAAAGGGCGCGUAGGCGGAUUAUCAAGUCUCUUGUGAAAUCUAAUGGCUUAACCAUUAAACUGCUUGGGAAACUGAUAGUCUAGAGUGAGGGAGAGGCAGAUGGAAUUGGUGGUGUAGGGGUAAAAUCCGUAGAUAUCACCAAGAAUACCCAUUGCGAAGGCGAUCUGCUGGAACUCAACUGACGCUAAGGCGCGAAAGCGUGGGGAGCAAACAGGAUUAGAUACCCUGGUAGUCCACGCCCUAAACGAUGUACACUAGUUGUUGGGGUGCUAGUCAUCUCAGUAAUGCAGCUAACGCAUUAAGUGUACCGCCUGGGGAGUACGGUCGCAAGAUUAAAACUCAAAGGAAUAGACGGGGACCCGCACAAGCGGUGGAGCAUGUGGUUUAAUUCGAAGAUACGCGAAGAACCUUACCUGGGCUUGAUAUCCUAAGAACCUUUUAGAGAUAAGAGGGUGCUAGCUUGCUAGAACUUAGAGACAGGUGCUGCACGGCUGUCGUCAGCUCGUGUCGUGAGAUGUUGGGUUAAGUCCCGCAACGAGCGCAACCCACGUAUUUAGUUGCUAACGGUUCGGCCGAGCACUCUAAAUAGACUGCCUUCGUAAGGAGGAGGAAGGUGUGGACGACGUCAAGUCAUCAUGGCCCUUAUGCCCAGGGCGACACACGUGCUACAAUGGCAUAUACAAUGAGACGCAAUACCGCGAGGUGGAGCAAAUCUAUAAAAUAUGUCCCAGUUCGGAUUGUUCUCUGCAACUCGAGAGCAUGAAGCCGGAAUCGCUAGUAAUCGUAGAUCAGCCAUGCUACGGUGAAUACGUUCCCGGGUCUUGUACUCACCGCCCGUCACACCAUGGGAGUUGAUUUCACUCGAAGCCGGAAUACUAAA
rnacentral:rRNA from 1 species